CCAUAACGAAACAGUGCUUCACCACAUCUGUGGAUUAAGCUACACAGUCAACUCAAUUCUCUCCUGUAGAUGUCGUGGCCUCUGUUGUGAGUCCUUCAGGUCCAGCAGCAGGGGGCAGUAGUGUGACUCUGACCUGUAACACAAGUGAGGCCAACACUCCAGUGCAGAACUACACCUGGUUUAGAGGAGACCUGCACACCCCUAUAGGAUCUGGACAAACCCUCACCUUUAAUCUCAGCUCCAGUGAUGAAGGACAGUACUACUGCAGGGCAGAACAUUCACAAGGGGGAAAGGAGUCUGAUGCAGUGAGACUGGUGAUUAAAAAACAAAGCCAAAGUUUCCUGGCUAUAGGAAUCACGGUAAAGUGUCUGGCUGCAUUUAUCAUAACCAUCUUGGUCAUUGAUGUUGUGAGGUGGCAAAAAUCCCAUCAGAAGAUAAAACCGGGUGGGCAUCGCCAGACCACUGACCCAGAUGAUCAAGGUCGCUCCAUUCAUGUCCGAGUUCCUCAACCUCCAGCUGAUCCUGAUGAGGUCGACUAUGAGGAUCCAGACGGGCCCUCUGGUGUCAGACUGGGUUUGACAUCUCUACUGCUUUUAAAGUGCUCUAAUAUGCCUGGCUGUUGAUUAAUGAUGAAGCAUUCAAUUAUCAUAAAAUGUAACAACAAUCAUCCACUGAUCACCAGCAUCUCAACAUAAUGUCAUGUCAUCACUUACAGGUAUAUCUAGAUUUUAUUAGACCAUUCGAGUGUAGCAGCUACUGUCAUACCUGAAAAAAGUGUAGCCUAUGCAUCAGUGCCACUUAUCUUUAAUGCUUUAGAGCAAUGGUAGUGUAGGCCUAGUUGCUAAGGACCUGGGAAAGCAGUAGGCAGGAAAAUGUGUGGGUUCGAUUUCCGGCUACCAUGUUGUACCCUUGAGCAAGGCACUUAACACUGAGUUCCAGGGUGACUCGUAACUCAUUUAUAUUUGUAAGUUGCUUUGGAUAAAUGUGUAAGUGCAAAUGAUGUAGUGGCUACAUUUGCCCGUAAUGAUUCUUUUGACUUUCUGCAGACUGCAUUAAUGCUAAAUGUAAGGUUAUUCAUUUCAUUUAAUUUAAUUUGCUUCUAUUGCAAU